AACGCGAAGAACCUUACCAAGGUUUGACAUGCAGGGAAAAGCCGUAGAGAUAUGGUGUCCGCAAGGGUCCUGCACAGGUGGUGCAUGGCUGUCGUCAGCUCGUGUCGUGAGAUGUUGGGUUAAGUCCCGCAACGAGCGCAACCCUCGUCCUAUGUUGCCAGCGGGUAAUGCCGGGGACUCAUAGGAGACUGCCGGGGUCAACUCGGAGGAAGGUGGGGAUGACGUCAAGUCCUCAUGCCCCUUAUGUCUUGGGCUGCAAACAUGCUACAAUGGCCAGUACAAUGGGUUGCGAGACCGCAAGGUGGAGCGAAUCCCAAAAAGCUGGUCUCAGUUCGGAUUGGGGUCUGCAACUCGACCCCAUGAAGUCGGAGUCGCUAGUAAUCGCAGAUCAGCAACGCUGCGGUGAAUACGUUCCCGGGCCUUGUA
rnacentral:rRNA from 1 species